CUUGCAAUUGCAGAUUGGUUUAGAAGUUUAAUUAUAAUUUAAGUAGUUUUUUUGUUACUUUUAUCUUUUGUUAGUAGAUUAUUUAGUCCUGACAUUUGGAGUCUUGAUAACUUACUAACUAGGCUAUGAUACACAAAAGGAAAAUGAGGAUAUGAUAGCACAACUGAAGGAUUGCAAGCCAAGGGCAGGCCAACAACAUCUCCAGAGGAUGUUUUCAAGCAAAAUUCAUAUAAUUGUAAGAAACAAAAGUAUUAGCACAAGGGAGGGGCAAAACCAUUUCAUCCAACAUGCAAGGAAGGCUCGCAAGGAUAAGAUGAAGAAAAAGAAGGAUGGAGUUAAAGGAGAAAUUAUUCAAGAAGCACUUGAGGUAGUGAUGGUGAUCUUACAAAGGACAAUGAUACUUGUGCUAAACUAAAGACCAUGACAUGGUUGAUGACUUAUAUUAUGUAUUGUUGGUUUCAAAUAUGCACUCGAUAUACUUGUUUUGUUACCGACUCAAUGCCUUAGAAUCUUGUUAGCAUCUCAAUAUGCUUAGAGGUGUUAGGAUGUUUAUGUUAGCUUUUGAGAUAUACAG